rnacentral:rRNA from 1 species
UCGGGAAUAUUGCGCAAUGGAGGAAACUCUGACGCAGUGACGCCGCGUAUGGGAAGAAGGUUUUCGGAUUGUAAACCAUUGUCGUUAGGGAAGAAGAAGUGACAGUACCUAAGGAGGAAGCUCCGGCUAACUAUGUGCCAGCAGCCGCGGUAAUACAUAGGGAGCGAGCGUUAUCCGGAUUUAUUGGGUGUAAAGGGUGCGUAGACGGGAGUUUAAGUUGGUUGUGAAAUCCCUCGGCUCAACCGAGGAACUGCAACCAAAACUGGACUUCUUGAGUAUCGGAGAGGAAAGUGGAAUUCCUAGUGUAGCGGUGAAAUGCGUAGAUAUUAGGAGGAACACCAGUGGCGAAGGCGACUUUCUGGACGAAAACUGACGUUGAGGCACGAAAGUGUGGGGAGCAAACAGG